rnacentral:rRNA from 1 species
GACGAACGCUGGCGGCGUGCUUAACACAUGCAAGUCGAACGGAAAGGCCCUGCUUUUGUGGGGUGCUCGAGUGGCGAACGGGUGAGUAACACGUGAGUAACCUGCCCUUGACUUUGGGAUAACUUCAGGAAACUGGGGCUAAUACCGGAUAGGAGCUCCUGCUGCAUGGUGGGGGUUGGAAAGUUUCGGCGGUUGGGGAUGGACUCGCGGCUUAUCAGCUUGUUGGUGGGGUAGUGGCUUACCAAGGCUUUGACGGGUAGCCGGCCUGCGAGGGUGACCGGCCACAUUGGUACUGCGAGACGGCCCAGACUCCUACGGGAGGCAGCAGUGGGAAAUAUUGCACAAUGGGCGGAAGCCUGAUGCAGCAACGCCGCGUGCGGGAUGACGGCCUUCGGGUUGUAAACCGCUUUCGCCUGUGACGAAGCGUGAGUGACGGUAAUGGGUAAAGAAGCACCGGCUAACUACGUG